UCCUCCCUCUUUCUUCGUGCUUAACACAUGCAAGUCGAACGGAAAGGCCCUGCUUUUGUGGGGUGCUCGAGUGGCGAACGGGUGAGUAACACGUGAGUAACCUGCCCUUGACUUUGGGAUAACUUCAGGAAACUGGGGCUAAUACCGGAUAGGAGCUCCUGCUGCAUGGUGGGGGUUGGAAAGUUUCGGCGGUUGGGGAUGGACUCGCGGCUUAUCAGCUUGGUGGUGGGGUAGUGGCUUACCAAGGCUUUGCCGGGUAGCCGGCCUGAGAGGGUGACCGGCCACAUUGGGACUGAGAUACGGCCCAGACUCCUACGGGAGGCAGCAGUGGGGAAUAUUGCACAAUGGGCGGAAGCCUGAUGCAGCAACGCCGCGUGCGGGAUGACGGCCUUCGGGUUGUAAACCGCUUUCGCCUGUGACGAAGCGUGAGUGACGGUAAUGGGUAAAGAAGCACCGGCUAACUACGUG
rnacentral:rRNA from 1 species